AUGGGUCCCCACCAGCGACGAGGCUUUUGCCGAGGAGCUUAAGGGUGGGGCAAAGACCCCUUUCGGUUCUCUUGGAACAAGACGGAAGAGAGUCACUCUUACCGUCGCGCAUACCUAAAGCGGGUCUGCCGCCUUCGUUUCUCUUUCUUCAGCGAAUGACUUUGGAUCAGCGCUCGCGCGCCGUACCGCAGCCCUUUGGGCUGCUGGCGCUCCGCGAGGGCGCGGCACGAGCCGCGACGGCCGGUCGGCCUUGCGAGGCUUCGCCUCGAGGUCAACAGCUUGUUACCGGCAGAGCGCGGUCUUUAGGGCUUGUAGCUCAGUUGGUUAGAGCGCGCGCUUGAUAAGCGUGAGGUCGGAGGUUCAAGUCCUCCCAGGCCCACCACUUCCUUUAACACGAAGGUUAUCAGGGGCCGUAGCUCAGCUGGGAGAGCGCCUGCUUUGCAAGCAGGAUGUCGUCGGUUCGAUCCCGUCCGGCUCCACCAACACGCGAUCUCGAAGAGAUCGUCGCUUCAGCCGCCACGUUGCGGUUUGGCAAGCGCGCGAUCCGCAGGAUCGUCGCGUCGAGGUGUUGAGCAGAGAUGGUGAGAAAAAAGUCAUUCGAAAAAGAGUUUGCGUCGAGCCUAGUGCUCCGCGCCUGUUCUGUUUGACAUCGUAAAGAGAAGAUUUGUUCGAACUUCAUGGCUGCAAAGCUGUGAUUUGUCGCAAGGGACGCUCAAUCCCUUGCCUAUGAUGGGUUUGCCUAACCGCGCCCUCGAACGGAUCUCGAGAAGCUGGUCUUUUUGUGCCAAUUCCAUUCGGUAAUGCCCCGCACAGGGUGUUGCUGGAGCGACGAUCCUUCGGAUCGCGCCUAGCUAAUCUCGCAAGAGAGAGGCUGAAGCGGACGAUCUCUUCGAGAUCGCGCGAUGGGUAUUGGGCAAUGAAAAACGAUCAAGUGUCUUAAGGGCAAUUGUAGAUGCCUUGGCAUGCACAGGCGAUGAAGGACGUGAUACGCUGCGAUAAGCUA
rnacentral:tRNA from 1 species